CUUGGUGAAGGGGAAGCUGCGCAGUGAACAGGACCUCAUUUCUUCUUGGCCCUGAAUCACAUCCUACUGACUCAGGUGCUGUGUUCUCACCCACCUCAUGAAGAACAUCUUGGUUGCUGAACAACUUAGGAAACUACAAAUAAAUCUUCCAUAAACUUUUGUGUGAACAGUUUCAACUACAUUGCAGCAAUAACAAGGAACAAAACUGCAGAAUCUCAAUGGCCAGAGGCUCCCAGUGGCGGUGUGAGAAGUCCUGGUGUUCAUUAUUGAGAGAAUCCACAUCCCAUGAGAAACACCAGCAUCAGACU